CCUACGGGAGGCAGCAGUGGGGAAUCUUAGACAAUGGGCGCAAGCCUGAUCUAGCCAUGCCGCGUGAGUGAUGAAGGUCUUAGGAUCGUAAAGCUCUUUCGCCAGGGAUGAUAAUGACAGUACCUGGUAAAGAAACCCCGGCUAACUCCGUGCCAGCAGCCGCGGUAAUACGGAGGGGGUUAGCGUUGUUCGGAAUUACUGGGCGUAAAGCGCGCGUAGGCGGAUUGGAAAGUUGGGGGUGAAAUCCCGGGGCUCAACCCCGGAACUGCCUCCAAAACUCCCAGUCUUGAGUUCGAGAGAGGUGAGUGGAAUUCCGAGUGUAGAGGUGAAAUUCGUAGAUAUUCGGAGGAACACCAGUGGCGAAGGCGGCUCACUGGCUCGAUACUGACGCUGAGGUGCGAAAGUGUGGGGAGCAAACAGGAUUAGAUACCCUGGUAGUCCACACCGUAAACGAUGAAUGCCAGUCGUCGGCAAGCAUGCUUGUCGGUGACACACCUAACGGAUAAGCAUUCCGC
rnacentral:rRNA from 1 species